rnacentral:lncRNA from 12 species
CCUCGAAAAAGAGCAGUAGCCACAGACACACCAGAGCUUCACGUUGGAAGGACUCUCAGGCCACUCUCCUGGCCUGGGUCAGCCCGGCACACACUGGGCGUCCAGAGCAAGGGGUGAGUGGCUAAUCUUUGAACAGCUUCAGAUGCAUGGAAGGCUACUCAGCUCUGAAAAGAUCUGCUCAUAAAACCAUGGCCAGUGGUGGAAAUGGGAUGCAGAUAAAAGAAAUGUCAAGAAGAGCAAAAAGAAAUUUACUUACAAAGGAGAAGAUUAAGACCAUCAGGAAUGCAGACCAUCUCAGGUGUACCAUUAAACAACCAGAUGUGAAAUGCAAACAACCAGUAAACAACCUCGAUGUUUUCUGA